GAGGAUGUGGCCCAGUGGUAGAGAGCGCACUUAGUGUGCAUGAGGCCCUGGGUUCAAUUCCCAGUACCUCCA
rnacentral:tRNA from 1 species